CCUACGGGAGGCAGCAGUGAGGAAUAUUGGUCAAUGGUCGGAACACUGAACCAGCCAAGCAGCGUGAGGGAGGAAGGUACAGAGUAUCGUAAACCUCUUUUGUCAGGGAAUAAAGGCGGGGACGUGUCCCCGGAUGCGUGUACCGCAAGAAAAAGCAUCGGCUAACUCCGUGCCAGCAGCCGCGGUAAUACGGAGGGUGCGAGCGUUAACCGGAUUUAUUGGGUUUAAAGGGGGCGCAGGCGGUCCCUUAAGUUAGGGGUCAAAUGCCGUGGCUCAACCGCGGCACUGCAGUGGACACUGGCAGUCUCGAGUUGGAGAGAAGUAUGCGGAAUGCGUGGUGUAGCGGUGAAAUGCAUAGAUAUCGCGCAGAACUCCGAUUGCGAAGGCAGCAUGCCGUAGCCACACUGACGCUGAGGCACGAAGGUGUGGGUAUCGAACAGGAUUAGAUACCCGGGUAGUC
rnacentral:rRNA from 1 species